GGUGGGGUCCUGGAGGUGGGGUCCUGGAGGUGGGGUCCUGGAGGUGGGGGUCCUGGAGGUGGGGGUCUGGAGGUGGGGAUCCUGGAGGUGGAGGUCUGGAGGUGGGGGUCUGGAGGUGGGGGUGGCUGGGCUUACAGAACCACCUGGCUCCUGGAGCCGCCCGGCC